rnacentral:misc_RNA from 1 species
CCCGCGCGCCCUCGUCCAGCCAUGCUCUUCCCUGCUCGGUCCGGCAUGGAGGUUGGGAGCAGCCGCUGCGCUCGGGGCCGCACUGUAGAGCUGCUCCUUGCACGUCCGCCCUCAGCUUUCCAGCCACGCUCGCUCGUCCGGCCUCCUCUGCUCUUCCCCGGUGAGCCCCUGCAGAUCUCGCCCGCCAACGAGCUUCCUCAACGCGCGCAACCCCACCUUCGCACGACUCCCUUGGCUCGGUCGAGCAGGGCCAUGGCCAUGGCCAUCCUCUCCUACCCUUCCUCCAUUCUCUCUGUUCUAUCCCGAGGUGGAAGAAAGCCGAA